GACAGAGGGUGCAAACGUUGUUCGGAAUUACUGGGCGUAAAGCGCGUGUAGGCGGCCCUGCAAGUCGGAUGUGAAAUCCCACGGCUCAACCGUGGAAGUGCAUUCGAAACUGCAGGGCUAGAGUCCUGGAGAGGAAGGCGGAAUUCUCGGUGUAGAGGUGAAAUUCGUAGAUAUCGAGAGGAACACCGGUGGCGAAGGCGGCCUUCUGGACAGUGACUGACGCUGAGACGCGAAAGCGUGGGGAGCGAACAGG
rnacentral:rRNA from 1 species